CGUGUGGCCGCGCCGGGCAUUGCGGCGGGGAGACCCCGGCGGGCACACGAGCCGGCUCCGCGCUGCCCGCCUGGGGCUGGAGCGGGGCGUGGAGCCCGGAGGGAAGGGCCCGGAACGAAGCCGGCUCCGUGCCGCCCUCCCUGCGCGUCGCCCUGCGCGGAGCAGCCGGUUUGUAAACGCAGAGAAGAGAAUCCGCUGCCCCGUGCUACUGCCCUGCGAGUCAAGCCAGGGUUUCCAGCCGAGAGAUGAGGGCAGGGAGAGAGAACGCGGCUCCGCGCCCCGCGCCUGCAGCUCGGGCAGGCGGGAGAUCGAGGCAGAGAGAGAAGGAGAAAAAGGCGUCGCUCGCUCGGGGUCCCUCGGGCGGUGCCCGCGGCCGGGGCAGGCGGGGUGGCGCUGCUCGGGCGGACACACGAUGCGCGACAUCGACUCCGGGCCGGGGAGAGCGCCAGCGCCGGGAUCCAAGGCUCGUGUUCCCAUUGGCCAACAGGAGCCGGGAGGCGAUUGGGUGGAACGGCCCCUUGGCCGGGUGACGGCAGCUCCGCCCUCCUUCGCUCUGAUUGGCCUGUGCCGAGGGAGGCGGGACCAGGAGCCGGGCCUCCCUGUCCGAGUCCGCAGCUCCGCGGGUGCGCGCACGGGGGGCGCGGAGCCACGUGGCGCUGCUGGGCCGGGCCGGCGGGCGGACCCGGGGCGCUGCGGCACGUGCUAUGGCGACCACGGCGGGUCGUGCGGGAGCUUGGGCAGGUGCCGCCGUGCGCGGGGCCCGUGGGGCUCUCCUCUGCGGGGGUGCUGCAGCGCGAAGCUGCUUGUCUGUCCCGGGGCCCCUUUCCUCCCCGCCUGCCGCCUGCGCAGCCUCCCUGGCUCCUCGACGUGGUGGGCGGUGGUGCAGGGGGUGCACGACGGGCCUUUGCUUCUCGGCCGGCGCUGAAACCUCUCCAGCGAGCAGACAUGCAGAUAGUGUGUGUGUGUGUGUGUUACACACCCUCAUUAACACAGUGAUCCUGUUACUACGUGUGUCCCUCUGUCUCUGUCCAUGGUGAUAGUGAUGUAGGUAUUCAACUCUAACGCUUGCACAGCACCGCACACGAGUGUGUGUCGUUAGUGCGGGUAUCACACAUGUCAUGAGGCAUCCGCACCCAGCAUGGAGGAAACCCGGCUCAGUGCUGCCCUACCGCUGAGCGCUCCCCUUGAUUCGUAUCAAGUCUCAUUCCACUUGCUGAGGUUGGCCGGAGACGAUGCCCACAGACUACAGGGAAGGCUGCAGGCUUCUGGAGGACACUGAGUGCGCUGGGACCCUGAGACUUAGUGACCUUCCUGUAACUCAGGUCCAGGUCUCUGCUCCUCUGUUCUGCUGGUCCUGGCACUAUGAGAUGCCCCUCCGCACCCUGUAAACAGGGCUGCACCCCCACCCCCUCUGAUCUUGGGGGAGGAGGCCUCGUUUAGCCCUUUGGGCUCUGUGGCUCCCAUGGCAGGAGGCUGAAGUCGUGCCCUGAUGUCCCCAGACAUGGGGCAGCUUUGACCCCUGAUCAAGACCACUUGGUCCACUUGUCAGGUAGCACUGAGGGCUUUGCAGGUUGUCUCUGGGCUUUAUGCCCCAGCAGCCAGCUGUGUGCAGGGAGCACUGUCCUGUAAGCAGGGUUUUCGGUGUUUGUGGUCACUGUUCAUGGUGCCGCCCUAGCAGUUCUGUGCAGAGUCCUGGCCUGUCACACUCUUCUUCUGGCUGGCCCAGAUGUCAGCAGCCGAGCCCACAGAUAUCUGCACUUCCCCAUUUCCAUUGAUGGAGGACAGAUCGGCAGCAGAUUCAGGUAAGAAAGGGAGCCAAGUUGUGACCCCCAGACCCAUCCUCCAAGGUGGUCAGCGUUUGUCUCUGUUUAUUAUAGGCCCUGGUAGGAGAAGCAGGAAAGAUGACACACAAGCAGGCAUCAGCUUCCAAGGAGGGAAGAAAACCAUGCCGUCCCAGGAAACAUAAGGGAAUUUCAACGUGGUGACUCUUUUUUAUUUUAUUUUGUGUUUUUAAUUUUAUUCCAUCACUGAGCGGUAGACCUUGGAAUCGGUUUUUCCAGUGUAAGGUUUGAGGUCAAGCGGUUUGCAGCACAUUGCUCCUUUCUGGCCUGGGAACACUUUUUCACUUGUCAGAGUGUGGCGAGCGAGAGAGAGGAGCGCCUAGGAACGAAAGCGUUUGUUAUUUUCUUUUUGUUGUUAAAACCACUGCAGCGUACUUUAUUUUCUUCUCAGUGCUGGGAAAGGGGCGCGAUGCAUCCUCGUAGCCUUCUCCUCCCACCUCCAUACCUAGGGCGAUAAACACCGGUAUAGAUUUUCAGGUCUUUUGGCCUUAGCGAGCCUUAGGGCCCCCCUCUAAUACUUUUGGGCACACGACCUCCCUGUAUCUCAGGGCAUGGGUGUUUGCCCCCUUCUUUUAGGGUGGCUAGUAUGUCCUCUUGGCCACUUGGUAGCUCACUUGAAGACUUACUGCCAUCCUUCUUGGUGACAGGCACUGUAUCCCCUACCCAAGUCCAUGGAGGUGAGUGCCCUAGCACUUGGCCAGCCAUUCUUCUGCACCCCCGCCCCCAGCCUGCAGCCUUUAAGCAGGGUCCAGGUCCCCUUAUUCCACGUGCUGAGGUUGGCCAUAGAGGAUUCCUACAGACUACAGGGAAGGCUGCAGGCUUCUGGAGGACAUUGAGUGCGUUGGGACCCUGAGGCUUAGUGACCUUCCUGUAACUCAGGUCCAGGUCUCUGCUCCUCUCUUCUGCUGCUCCUGGCACUAUUGAGAAGGCUUCACACUGCACCCUUUCAGCAGGACUCCACCCCCAGCCCUUCUGACCCUGGGUGAGGAGGCUUCUCUCAACCACCACCCCCUGGGUCUGACCACGGAGCCAAUUCCCCAGCCAGCGGAUUGUGGUGGACCCAAGGCUAUAAUUGGCCAUCUUUGCCAAGAGGUGGUCAGGGGAUACCAGGUCAAAGGCUUUUUUGAAAUCAAGAUAUAUGACAUCAAUCUCUUCUCCCUUGUCCAGGUGGUAGGUCACCUGGUCGUAGGAGGAAAUGAGAUUGGUCAAGCAAGACCUACCCGCAACAAAACCGCGCUGGCCAUCCCUCAGGAUGUUGCCAUCAGCCAGUCCAUUAAGGAUGGCCUCUUUAAUAAACUUUUCUAAGACCUUCCCCAGGAUAGAGGUCAGGCUGAUGGGCCUGUAGUUUGCCGGAUCCACUUUCCAUCCUUUCUUGAAGAUAGGCACCACAUUGGCCUUCUUCCCGUCCUCAGGCACUACACCAGAGCACCAGGUGCUGCCAAGGAUCCGUGCCACAGGCUGAGCUAUGAUGCUCGCCAGCUCCUUGAGUACCCUGGGGUGUAGACUGUCAGGCCCGGCUGACUUGAAGGUAUCCAGCCUCUCAAGGUGUCCCUUCAUGAGGUCAGCAUUGAUGGCGAGCAGGAAAUAUCCCUCACCUGGACCUCCCUGUCCUGUAGUGAGCAUGGGUGUCCCAUGGGACUGACGAAAGACCGACGCAAAGUACCCAUUUCAAAGGUUGGCUUUUUCUUGGGCGUCAGUUGUCAGGUGUCCCAUAUGUUUCGACAGGGGUCCAAUGUUGCCCUUCCUUUUCCUUCGGCUCCCCACAUAUCUGAAAAAGGACUUUUUAUACUCCUUGAUCCUUGAAGCUAGCUGGAGUUGAGUUGCAGCCUUGGCUUUCCUGGUUUGCCCACUGCAGGACUGGACCAGGGCAGAAUAUUCCCCCUUGGCUGGCCGGGAUGUCAGUGUUGCCGCAAGGAUUUCUUUUAACAGAGGCCCCAAGGAUUGACACGGCCCCUCAUCUGAUUUGGUAUCAAGUGAACUUUGAAUAGGUACAGAAAACAGAAUAGGUACUCCAAACCUAUUCUGUUUUUUGAUUUUCUUUCCUCUUAGGGAAACUGCUGUACCUGGUUAGCCCACCACACCAAUCACAGCAUUCAUUUUUCCCAGGGCCUUAUAAGGCGCUCUGUACAAUUUAAUUGCUUAGCUCUGGGAAGGCCUAAAGUUAUGCUGAGAGCCUGAGCAUGACUCGGUUUGCCUGCUACAGUUGGUAGCUGUGCCCGCAGAUGUCUGCCCUCCCCACUUUCCGCAGACAGAGGACAGAGUGGCCGCGGGUCCAGAAGAAGAAGCAGAGAAGACGACAGACAAAUAGGAGUUAACUGAUAACCAGGGCAGAAAACUAUGCCAGGCAACCUGGAGGCAAAGUCACUGCUCGUGGUGGCGCCUUAGCAGUUCUGUCCAGAGUCCUGGCCCGCCGCACUCUGCUUCUGGAUGGCCCAGAUGUCUGCCUCUGAGCCUACGGAUGUUUGCCCUCCCCCAUCUCCAUGGACAGAGGAGAGAUGGGCAGCAGAUUCAGCCCCCAGAAGGAGAAGCAGAGAAGACAGCAGACAACCAACUGAGAAAGGAAGAAAUCCCCGCCCGCUCAGCGGGAUGGAAAGGUCCCUGAAGGGCAGGUGGAGAAGAAGGAAUGGAAGCAAGAGAAGAAAGCUCGGGAACAGCAAGUGUGGGUUGGGGUGGGCAGGAGGAAGGGGAAUAUUUAAUGUCUGCUUAGAGAAGUACAGAUGGAGACUGCUGAGUGCCUCUCUACACUUCCAAACACCCAUUAGGAGCAAGCAGCUGCACGCUUCAAGUUGCACCGUGCACUCGGUCUUGGGUUGGCCCCGAUUGUGUGCAAGGAGGUUGAGGCUUUGUGCUAGUUGUGCAUUUUGAUAUGCAGCAGUGAAGGGUUUGGUAGGUUGUUUGGCUUUGCUAGUUAAGCAGUGGAUCAAAAUAGAUGCGAUUGAAGGCAGCGUAUAGGAUGUUCUUGGUUGGGUUGUUGAGCGGUUCUCGGCGUUAGUGUAGAAAUGCAGAUUUGUUCUUGGUUCUGUUUUUGUUUUGGCUGUAGCUUUGCAUAGGAUGUAGCUUGCGGGGCCAAUUCGAGGCUGUUUGUGGUGCAAUAUAUUUGCAUCUGUACGUUAAGGUUUCAGGGUGUUCGUGUUUAACCUCCAGCUCCACAAGGACAAAGAUCUUGUCCUGUGUCUAAACAAUCGUAAAGGUAGUUGGCGUGGUCAACAUCAAACCAGCCGGAGCAAACGGGCCCUAGAUGUGCACAGUCGAACAAUAAACGGUCUAAGAAACUUCACCUCAUGGCUGGUACUUUUCUGUGCUGAGAUUUGGCUACGGGCCUUUCCUGUUGCGAGCUGGCUGAAGGAUGAACUUUUUCGUUCAGUCUGCCGAUCCGAUCUGUGUUCUUACUUGUGCAAUGCAAAUAUUUCCUCUUCUGAUGGACCAGUGGGAAAAGAAUGUGUAACACAUGGUUCCUAGUCAUUGGUUUACAAUGGUUAAUGCACUGUAGGAAAUCAGUCCUGAGUUAUUUGAGGUAAAGUAUAGUGAAGUUGUGGUGUUGUGGUGUAAUCUGUUGAAGUUCAGCUUCUUGCUCCUUGUCUCAAAAGGAAUACAUGGUCCGAAUGAAAAUAAAAUUCUCAGGAGA